rnacentral:rRNA from 1 species
ACGGCGAGUGACCGGGAAGAGCUCAAAUUUGAAAUCUGGCGUCCUCAGGGCGUCCGAGUUGUAAUCUAUAGAGGCGUUUUCCGUGCCGGACCGUGUCCAAGUUCCUUGGAACAGGAUAUCAAAGAGGGUGACAAUCCCGUACUUGACACGACGACCGGUGCUCUGUGAUACGUCUUCUACGAGUCGAGUUGUUUGGGAAUGCAGCUCAAAAUGGGUGGUGAGUUCCAUCUAAAGCUAAAUAUUGGCGAGAGACCGAUAGCGAACAAGUACCGUGAGGGAAAGAUGAAAAGCACUUUGGAAAGAGAGUUAAACAGUACGUGAAAUUGUUGAAAGGGAAACGAUUGAAGUCAGUCGUGACCGAGAGGCUCAGCCGGUUCUGCCGGUGUAUUCCCCUCGGUCGGGUCAACAUCAGUUUUGUCCGGUGGAUAAGGGCGGUAGGAAGGUGGCACCCUCGGGUGUGUUAUAGCCUGCCGUCGCAUACAUCGGGUGAGACUGAGGAACGCAGCUCGCCUUUAUGGCCGGGGUUCGCCCACGUCCGAGCUUAGGAUGUUGACAUAAUGGCUUUAAACGACCCGUCUUGA